UCGUUGACUUGGCCAUUUUGGGCA
rnacentral:siRNA from 1 species